rnacentral:lncRNA from 1 species
GACCAAAGCAUCUGGCCUAGGAAAGGUUUUCCCUGAAAGAUAAGAAGCAUGUUUGAAAGAGAAUGUUUCCAUGUGUUGGAAAAUAUCAGUCAAACUCAUUGUGGAAAAGCAUUGAGAGGCGGAAGCAGAGGGAGCUGAAUGUUUCUACUACUUUUCAGGGUAGAAGGUGCCUGAAGGGACAGGAAUUGUUUCCAGACCUAGAAGCCGGUCGAAGAAGAGCAUUGCCACAAAAUGAAAAGACAGGAAAUCCUAGCAUACUGACUGGGAACCUGCUUUAA